rnacentral:piRNA from 1 species
UAGAUCUUUUGAGUUGUCUUCCUGCCU